UACGUAGGGUGCAAGCGUUGUCCGGAAUUAUUGGGCGUAAAGAGCUCGUAGGCGGUUUGUCGCGUCGAAUGUGAAAACCCGGGGCUCAACCCCGGGCCUGCAUUCGAUACGGGCAGACUAGAGUUCGGUAGGGGAGUCUGGAAUUCCUGGUGUAGCGGUGAAAUGCGCAGAUAUCAGGAGGAACACCGGUGGCGAAGGCGGGACUCUGGGCCGAUACUGACGCUGAUGCACGAAAGCUAGGGGAGCAAACAGG
rnacentral:rRNA from 1 species